UACAGAGACUGCAAGCGUUAUUCGGAUUCACUGGGCGUAAAGGGUGCGCAGGCGGCCAAGUGUGUUAGGCGUGAAAGCCUGGGGCUUAACCCCAGAAUUGCACCUAAAACUACAUGGCUAGAGCAUUGGAGAGGGUAGCGGAAUUCACGGUGUAGCAGUGAAAUGCGUAGAUAUCGGGAGGAACACCAGUGGCGAAGGCGACUACCUGGCCUGUUCUUGACGCUGAGGCGCGAAAGCUAGGGGAGCAAACGGG
rnacentral:rRNA from 1 species